rnacentral:rRNA from 1 species
UACGUAGGUGGCAAGCGUUGUCCGGAUUUACUGGGCGUAAAGAGCGCGCAGGCGGUCGGCCAAGUCGAGUGUGAAAGCCCCCGGCUCAACUGGGGAGGGUCAUUCGAUACUGGUCGACUCGAAGGCAGGAGAGAGAAGCGGAAUUCCCGGUGUAGUGGUGAAAUGCGUAGAUAUCGGGAGGAACACCAGUGGCGGAAGGCGGCUUCCUGGCCUGUUCUUGACGC